rnacentral:rRNA from 1 species
UGGGGAAUAUUGGACAAUGGGGGAAACCCUGAUCCAGCGAUGCCGCGUGGGUGAAGAAGGCCUUCGGGUUGUAAAGCCCUUUAGGUUAGGAAGAAGAGUACGUGCUGAAUAAGCAUAUACUUUGACGGUACUGACAGAAUAAGCACCGGCAAACUCUGUGCCAGCAGCCGCGGUAAUACAGAGGGUGCGAGCGUUAAUCGGAAUUACUGGGCGUAAAGGGCGCGUAGGCGGAUAUGUAUGUGGGAUGUGAAAGCCCCGGGCUUAACCUGGGAAGUGCAUACCAAACGGCAUAACUAGAGUAUAUGAGAGGGUGGCGGAAUUUCCGGUGUAGCGGUGAAAUGCGUAGAUAUCGGAAAGAAUACCGGUGGCGAAGGCGGCUUCCUGGACACAUACUGACACUGAGGCGCGAAAGCGUGGGGAGCAAACAGG